rnacentral:misc_RNA from 1 species
AAGUCGUAACAAGGUUUCCGUAGGUGAACCUGCGGAAGGAUCAUUAUAAAAUUUUUCUUGCAUAUUUUUUUAAAAUGUGUAAAAAAAAUCUUGUAUUCAAAACCCACACUCUUUAAAACCAUAAUAAAAAAAUUUUUAUGUUUAUAUACAUGAAAUUUUUUUAUUUAAAAAUAAUAUAUAUAAUAAAAAGACAACUUUCAACAACGGAUCUCUUGGCUCUC